rnacentral:rRNA from 1 species
CACGAACGCUGGCGGCAGGCUUAACACAUGCAAGUCGAGCGGGGAAGGGUAGCUUGCUACCUAACCUAGCGGCGGACGGGUGAGUAAUGCUUAGGAAUCUGCCUAUUAGUGGGGGACAACAUUCCGAAAGGAAUGCUAAUACCGCAUACGCCCUACGGGGGAAAGCAGGGGAUCUUCGGACCUUGCGCUAAUAGAUGAGCCUAAGUCAGAUUAGCUAGUUGGUGGGGUAAAGGCCUACCAAGGCGACGAUCUGUAGCGGGUCUGAGAGGAUGAUCCGCCACACUGGGACUGAGACACGGCCCAGACUCCUACGGGAGGCAGCAGUGGGGAAUAUUGGACAAUGGGCGCAAGCCUGAUCCAGCCAUGCCGCGUGUGUGAAGAAGGCCUUUUGGUUGUAAAGCACUUUAAGCGAGGAGGAGGCUACUUGGAUUAAUACUCUAGGAUAGUGGACGUUACUCGCAGAAUAAGCACCGGCUAACUCUGUGCCAGCAGCCGCCGUAAAAC